rnacentral:misc_RNA from 1 species
UUUCCGUAGGUGAACCUGCGGAAGGAUCAUUCUUGUAUAACGGUGGAGCGAGGUUUGUUGAUGACACGAACAGUCGGGCACGCACGAGAGCCUCGCACACUUCCACCUCACCCCUAUCUCCAACCCCGCGCGGGUCCCCCUUUGUCUUUCUGGGAGAGGGGCUGACGUAUUCACACAAACUUAGUAUGUAGUGUAGCGUGUAUCUUUUGUUUUUGCGAUCACGCGAUCGAUACAACUUUCAACAACGGAUCUCUUGGCUCCCGCCACGCAGAAGAACGC